GCUUCCAUAGCUCAGCAGGUAGAGCACUUCCAUGGUAAGGAAGAGGUCACCGGUUCGAAUCCGGUUGGAAGCU
rnacentral:tRNA from 7 species